GACGAACGCUGGCGGCGUGCUUAACACAUGCAAGUCGAACGGAAAGGCCCUGCUUUUGUGGGGUGCUCGAGCGGCGAACGGGUGAGUAACACGUGAGUAACCUGCCCUUGACUUUGGGAUAACUUCAGGAAACUGGGGCUAAUACCGGAUAGGAGCUCCUGCUGCAUGGUGGGGGUUGGAAAGUUUCGGCGGUUGGGGAUGGACUCGCGGCUUAUCAGCUUGUUGGUGGGGUAGUGGCUUACCAAGGCUUUGACGGGUAGCCGGCCUGAGAGGGUGACCGGCCACAUUGGGACUGAGAUACGGCCCAGACUCCUACGGGAGGCAGCAGUGGGGAAUAUUGCACAAUGGGCGGAAGCCUGAUGUAGCAACGCCGCGUGCGGGAUGACGGCCUUCGGGUUGUAAACCGCUUUCGCCUGUGACGAAGCGUGAGUGACGGUAAUGGGUAAAGAAGCACCGGCUAACUACGUG
rnacentral:rRNA from 1 species